AUAUCAAUAAGCGGAGGAAAAGAAACCAACAGGGAUUGCCCUAGUAACGGCGAGUGAAGCGGCAACAGCCCAGAUUUGAAAUCUGGCCCUUGGGCCCGAGUUGUAAUCUGCAGAUGAGUCUUUUGGCGGAGUGCUAUCCAAGUUCCCUGGAAUGGGACGCCAUAGAGGGUGAGAGCCCCGUACGGAUGGAUGCCGAGCCUUUGUAAAGCUCAUUCGACGAGUCGAGUAGUUUGGAAAUGCUGCUCUAAUUGUGGGGUAAAUCUCCCAUAAGGCUAAAUACCGGCCAGAGACCGAUAGCGCACAAGUA
rnacentral:rRNA from 1 species